UUUGCUGCAGUUUCCAGUGGUAAAGUCUCUCACCUGAAACAUGAUUUACACUUGAUCAAGAAAGGGCAUUUAUCUGUCAAAGAGUAUCUGGCAAAAAUUAAAGUUACCUGUGAUUUGCUUCACACCUCUAGUCAUCUCAUUUCCAUCAAGGAGCAAGUUGAGAUUGUUCUAGCCGAUUUUUUAACUAAAUUCGAGUCUAUGCUCACCAUUGUAUCUUUCUCAUCAGAGCCUCUAGCUAUAGACCACAUUUUGGAUAUACUGUUAAAGUGUGAAUGACGACAACAUCGAUUUAUCUCAAAGAUCCCUAUUCAGGCUGGGUAUGCGCCGCAUCAAAUUGAUACUUUAUCAGUGUUUCAGUCUAUUAGGCCAUCGAAUACUUCCAGGCUUGGGACUAUUUUUGAGCCACUAAAGGAAAUUUUACUCCGAGGCCACACACAUGAGGGGUUGUAUCGGUUCUCUCCGACAAUGUCUUUUGUCAACAUGGGGUCUAUUCAAGGUACUGAGAUGUCUCUUCAAAAUACAGAGUUGGGCACCAAGCAAAAAGCGUUUGAGCUGUGGCAUCGUCAACUUGGACAUCUGUCGUCGAAUGUUGUAAGUUCGGUUUUAAAAAGUUGUAAUACUAUUGUUGAUGCUAAUAAAUUACAGUAUAUUUGUUCUGCUUGUCAACAAAGGAAGUCACAUAAGCUACCUUUUUGGA